GUUUACUUUUUAAAUUUUUAUUUGGAUGGAGAGUUGUCUCAUUGGCACUCACACCACAUCUUCCUAUAUCUAUCAAGAAUCGGUCAAUUAUUUAACACAGCAUAAGAAGACGUGUAAGAAAGCCACUAUCUUUUUGCAGAUACAAUUUUUUCAGUUUUAUGUUUUUGUUAAUUUUUUAUUCAUUUUAUUUGAAAUUGUAGCUUUUGAAGAAUUUUUAUUUUAUGUUGGCAUUAGUUUUUCCACUAAAAAGCGCAAAUCAAAAGUCCGUUUUCAUUAAAUGUGCUGCGAUAAAAAGUAUCAUAAAGAAUAUGGAUACAUUACUUUUAAUUCCACUAUUCUUUCUGUUCAAUCAAUUU